GGUUAUUAGAAAAAAAUAUAUCGCUUGUAACAUAUGGCUCUAGUACGUCUAUAGUGUUACAAUAAGUCAACACGUGUUCUUAUAAUAAGAGGGACAGACAAAAGCCAUUGGAAAGAUAUAUACAAAAUAGAAUAUAUAGUUUUGUGUAGAAAAAUAUUCAAUAUUUGAAUGAAUGUACUGGUACAUGUAGAUAAAGGCCCCGGGAGUUAUAAUUCAGAAAAAUGCAUCAAAAAACAAAAUUAUUUUGCACUAAGGCAAGGGAUAUCCGCACUCAAAUAGAUCCGCAUCUAGUAUAUAUGCAGUGUUAAAUAAAUUUCCAUCGUCAAAAAAAUAAUUCAAAUCUUUUCGGGUGGAUUUUUGUUUACAAAGGAAAUAAUUUAAUAAUAUGAAAAAAUUGAAAUACAAAAUCUCUAACGAAAUUGAAGACCGCGGACAGAUAGAAC
rnacentral:lncRNA from 1 species